CACUCGGCAGCCAUUUUGUUAGCUGGUCGGAAGCUAAAAAGAUUAGCUGGGACGUGACACACAAAGUGUUGCCAUUGAUUCUCAUUUUUAAGUCAAGCAACAGGGCAUUUGUCGAACGCUCUCUCUGCAUUCGACGUACGACUCUACACCACCUCAUUGCCGGUUCGAGUGAGCAACCCUCCGCGGUUUGAGAAAACGUAAACUGCGAUACCUGGGUAACCCAUUCAUUUCUCUCGUUUGUUAGCCUAGCCUAGCUUAGCCUAACCGACCAGCCGCUCAUAAAGAAGACCUCCGCUUCAUGGCCGCCGGCGAUCCAGUUCUUCAAAGCGGUGAGCACUAAAAUAACAACCUCACAGUCGUCCCUUGGAGGCUUCCUCCCCUCACUCGUCCGUUUUGUGCGCUAGUUUAGCAGUUCGUUCGGUCGCGUUGAGACCCCGCGGUUAGUUCAGCCUCCGUAAGCCUCGUGGAAUCACCCAGACGGCAGACGGUACGUUUUGAGUUCGACUGCUACGAGCCUAAACAGCCCGGAAACAUGUCCGAGUUAUACAUCCGAGUGGCCGAGGACGAGAGCGAGGAGCCCAUGGAAAUCCCGUCGGAGGACGACGGCACCGUGCUGCUGUCCACGGUGGCGGCCCAGUUCCCUGGGGCCUGCGGCCUGCGCUACAGGAACCCCGAGUCACAGUGCAUGCGGGGGGUCCGCCUGGUGGAGGGGGUCCUGCACGCCCCGGAGAGCGACUGGGGGAACCUGGUCUACGUCGUCAACUACCCCAAAGACAACAAGAGGAAGAUGGAAGAAAUGGACGCCGCCUCCGCUGUUAAAAUCAAGAGGGGCUCCCAGAAGACGUCGGAUCUUAUUGUGCUGGGGCUGCCGUGGAAGACGUCAGAGCAGGACCUGAAAGACUACUUUGCCACCUUCGGGGAGGUCAUCAUGGUGCAGGUCAAGAGGGACGCCAAGACCGGUAACUCCAAGGGCUUUGGGUUCGUCCGGUUCACAGAGUACGAGACUCAGACCAAAGUGGUUUCUCAGAGACACAUGAUCGACGGGAGAUGGUGUGACUGCAAGCUUCCCAACUCUAAGGCCGGUCCUGAUGAGCCCAUGCGGAGCCGUAAGAUCUUUGUGGGUCGCUGCACAGAAGACAUGACCACUGACGAGCUCCGGCAGUUCUUCAUGCAGUACGGCGAGGUCACCGACGUCUUCAUCCCCAAACCCUUCAGAGCCUUCUCCUUCGUCACCUUCGCCGAUGACCAGGUGGCCCAGGCCCUGUGCGGAGAGGACCUGAUCAUCAAGGGCGUCAGCGUGCACAUCUCCAACGCCGAGCCUAAACACAAUAAUAGUAGGCAAAUGAUGGAGCGUGGGCGGUUCGGGGCUGCCGUGCAGCAACUCUUUUCCAAUUUCCCGGGAGGAAGCGCCUCAUGGGCGGCCAUGUUUGACCGGUCUCAGUAUCAAUUCCCCUCCUCCCAUGUGUAAAUGCUUUGCCAUCAAAGAACACGGCUUCACUCUGCAUAUACUGUGUUAGACGGGACCUUGGAAACAGCCGGCCCAGGGUUAUCGUCUGAAUCCAGAUUGGGAAGCAAUUUUGGAAAGCUGAAGACUGGAGUGUGGUGCAUUAAUGGGUGGGCCAGCACAAGCAACAAUGGAAAUGCUGCAAGAAUGCCUUAAACCUGAAAAGGGGACCCCUUCACCUCAAUAUCAAGAACCCAUGGACCCCCCCCCCCCCCCCCCCCCCCUUCACCAAAUUGAAAUCGGCUCAAAUUAAUUACGGACCAUUAAUUGGCAUGAAUUCAUUUGUACAUCUAGAUGAACGGCCCCAUUGACUAGGACCAAAGCUGCAUCAACAGUUGUAGAUGCCCACUAUUUGGCAUUGUCCAUGCUUAUGUCUGCUGUCCCAACUGUUUUUAGAUGGCUCCCUGCGUUGACCCGAAUUCAGACUACUUGUCUGUUAAUGCUGUGUCCUAUACCGGCUACUAACUUUAAUCUGAUUUAAGUUAACUUUUUUUUUUGAUACCAAUUAUUUCCAUGUGGUUCAAAUGUACAAUUUCAAUCGGGCAGUAAGCGAUCUCUUGUUUCAUGUUUUUGUUUUUUUUACUUGAUUGUAUAGCGGUUGUUAAUGUACACCGGGCAGUUUGGCAGGGACUCUGAAAACUAUUGAUUGAACAUGCCAGCAGGAAUUCUUUGUGUGUAUUGAUUUUUCAUUUUUUUUAGUCCUACAGAGUGUAAAAUAAAAGUUUCCAAUUUUUAACCUGUGGUUUUCUCAAUGUAGAUUACCGUGUAGUGUGCUAGCGGUGUGGCCGAGACGCAUUAUAGGCCUGUGUACGACUUGGGUCUUUGGACUACAAUUUGUCUACAAGGUUGUAGUUCUCCCACCUUGCCGGGAGGUGGUGCUAUAAUACACCUUGAGCUCGAGCGCUUGAAGACGUGUAUAUUUGUAGAGCGUCACAACCAGCCCGCGUCGGGGGAAGUCAAGCAUGUCUAGGCGUGCUAGUCACGUGGGUUUAUUAGCAUCGGGUUGUAAUGGAUUUGCUAGGACUUUUUUUUUUUAGGAAAUGUUAAACUUUACUUUGAUCAGUUGGGCUGCUUUACUCAAUGGCCUUAUCAUCUGAGGAAAUAUUCUUAUUAGUAUUUAAACUAUGGUUUAAUUGAAAGCAUGUAUUCCUGCUGGUCAAGUUGAUGUUUGGGUUUUAUCUAGGAUAAUGGAAUUGUUGCAAACUUCUAUUCAAGAUCAUAAUUUGGGAACUAAAACAUUUAAAUGUGACCUGUGGGCUCCAAUGAAAUGUAUUAAAGAGUUGUGCUUGUUUAAGUAGCCUAUUGCAAGGUGGAAGUUCGUCAGGACUUGGUCCACUGAAGUAGGCUAUGACGCAUGAAUAAGUAUAGCAAUGCUUUGCUUUCAUUAAAUUAUCUUUAAACGACCAGUAAUAAAUUUAAUAAUACAGAGCCAUCUAGUGGACAAUUACACCGUGACAUGUGAGGCUAAAUGCUUUCACCUGGGUGCCUUUGUUUAGAGCCUGCAUGUGUACUAAUUUG